rnacentral:rRNA from 1 species
GACGAACGCUGGCGGCGUGCUUAACACAUGCAAGUCGUACGGUAAGGCCCUUUCGGGGGUACACGAGUGGCGAACGGGUGAGUAACACGUGAGUAACCUGCCCACAACUUUGGGAUAACGCUAGGAAACUGGUGCUAAUACUGGAUAUGUGCUCCUGCUGCAUGGUGGGGGUUGGAAAGCUCCGGCGGUUGUGGAUGGACUCGCGGCCUAUCAGCUUGUUGGUGGGGUAGUGGCCUACCAAGGCGGCGACGGGUAGCCGGCCUGAGAGGGUGACCGGCCACAUUGGGACUGAGAUACGGCCCAGACUCCUACGGGAGGCAGCAGUGGGGAAUAUUGCACAAUGGGCGCAAGCCUGAUGCAGCAACGCCGCGUGCGGGAUGACGGCCUUCGGGUUGUAAACCGCUUUCAGCAGGGACGAAGCUUUUUGUGACGGUACCUGCAGAAGAAGCACCGACUAACUACGUG